GAAAAUCCAGAUCCAUCGUUUGACAGGUGUGCUGGAUCCUUCUGGAACUCCAGAUGGACGGGCGGAAGACUUCUGGUUGGUCUGUGGUCAGAGUUGUGAAAAGCAGAUACACUCGAGCCCUUGGUUUCUGUUUGGGGAGAGUGCUUUACACAGUUCUCCGUCGGGAGUAACUUAUUCUGACGGCAAGCGUAGGAGGAUAGGUCAGGCGCAGCAGCCGGGGCCUGCUCAGGGGUUUACCGGGUCGUGAUCCUUGGCCCGGGGCCUCCCGCGUCCUUCUGCGGAUUUUGUGAAGCACGAAACAAACCAGCUUUGGAGGCGUGGCCAGCCUUUCUUUCCUGCGCCGGUAUCUGACCAGGAAGGUCUUUAAUUUGGAAAAAAGACAGAGAAGCGUGUGCUGUGUGUGCUCCUGCUACUGAAGGCGUGCAGCGACGGCAGCCGUGGUGGCCGCCACAUGAAAGCUUGCCUUCUUACUGGCUCCCCUCCCAUCACAAUGCUCUUGUCUCCCAUCGUGCCAUUCCCGGAGGGACAUCUGAUGUGUCCCCACUUCAAAAUGGAAUGUGGUGCCCAUGUCUCAGCCUUUCGGACCAAGGAGGACACAUCUGUCCAA